UACGUAGGUGGCAAGCGUUGUCCGGGUUUACUGGGCGUAAAGAGCGCGCAGGCGGUCGGAUAAGUCGAAUGUGAAAGCCCCCGGCUCAACUGGGGAGGGUCAUUCGAUACUGUUCGACUCGAAGGCAGGAGAGGGAAGUGGAAUUCCCGGUGUAGUGGUGAAAUGCGUAGAUAUCGGGAGGAACACCAGUGGCGAAGGCGACUUCCUGGCCUGUUCUUGACGCUGAGGCGCGAAAGCUAGGGGAGCAAACGGG
rnacentral:rRNA from 1 species